GUCCAGUUGACAAGUCCCAAAUAGGACGAAAUGCGCAUCCUGGUGGAU
rnacentral:hammerhead_ribozyme from 1 species